UACAGAGGGUGCGAGCGUUGUCCGGAAUCACUGGGCGUAAAGGGCGCGUAGGUGGCGCUCCAAGUCUGUGGUGAAAGCUCGAUGCUCAACAUCGAGUCGGCCACGGAGACUGGAGGGCUCGAGCACUGUAGGGGCAGAUGGAAUUCCGGGUGUAGCGGUGGAAUGCGUAGAGAUCCGGAAGAACACCGGUGGCGAAGGCGGAUCUCUGGGCCAUUACUGACGCUGAGGAGCGAAAGCGUGGGGAGCGAACAGG
rnacentral:rRNA from 1 species